rnacentral:rRNA from 1 species
CCUGCGGGUGGCAGCAGUGGGGAAUAUUGGACAAUGGGCGAAAGCCUGAUCCAGCCAUGCCGCGUGUGUGAAGAAGGCCUUCGGGUUGUAAAGCACUUUCAGUGGGGAAGAAAGCCUUGGGGCUAAUACCCUCGAGGAAGGACAUCACCCACAGAAGAAGCACCGGCUAACUCCGUGCCAGCAGCCGCGGUAAUACGGAGGGUGCGAGCGUUAAUCGGAAUUACUGGGCGUAAAGCGCGCGUAGGCGGUCUGAUAAGCCGGUUGUGAAAGCCCCGGGCUCAACCUGGGAACGGCAUCCGGAACUGUCAGGCUAGAGUGCAGGAGAGGAAGGUAGAAUUCCCGGUGUAGCGGUGAAAUGCGUAGAGAUCGGGAGGAAUACCAGUGGCGAAGGCGGCCUUCUGGACUGACACUGACGCUGAGGUGCGAAAGCGUGGGUAGCAAACAGGAUUAGAUACCCUAGUAGUC